CGUAGGGUGCGAGCGUUAAUCGGAAUUACUGGGCGUAAAGCGUGCGCAGGCGGUUUUGUAAGCCAGAUGUGAAAUCCCCGGGCUCAACCUGGGAAUGGCAUUUGGGACUGCAAGGCUUGAGUGCGGCAGAGGAGACUGGAAUUCCUGGUGUAGCAGUGAAAUGCGUAGAUAUCAGGAGGAAUACCGAUGGCGAAGGCAGGUCUCUGGGCUGACACUGACGCUCAUGCACGAAGCGUGGGGAGCAAACAGGAUUAGAUACCCUGGUAGUCCACGCCCUAACGAUGUCGACUGGUUGUUGGGGGUUUGACACUCUCAGUAACGAAGCUAACGCGUGAAGUCGACCGCCUGGGGAGUACGGCCGCAAGGUUA
rnacentral:rRNA from 1 species